UCAUAACAUAAUGUAUUCGUAGGUACCGAUUACAUGUUAGUAGAUUGUUCCACUAACUACUUAGUACUUCCACUAGAAUCAUGGAGCCCUUUAUUAGGAGGCGCCUAGUGAAAACCCUAUGAAUGAAAAGAAACACAAAUGACGUGGAAUAGUAAAAUAUGUGAUGGGCUUUGAUUCUAUCUUGUUUGAAAAGGAAAUUUAGGGGUAUCCGGCACUGCCGGAUCCGGAUCCGCUGCCUCCACCGUGGCCGAACCCACCAUUGUUGCUGCUGCCACCGCCGCCACCCGUUCCAGCACCGGUUCCUGUGGCAUAGCCUUGACCAUAGGAACCAGUGCUACCAGUCUGUCCGCCUCCAGUGCCAGAGCCAGAACCAACUCCCAUGCUUGGACCUUGAGCUACGCCUCCACCUUGGCCACCUCCGCUGCCGUUGCCACUUCCACUAGCAUUGCCUCCAGUAGUGUCAUUGCUGGCGGCCUGCCCACCUCCAGCACCAUUACCACCUCCAUUUCCACCGUCACCGCCACCACCGCCAGUGCCAGCACCGCCAGCAUCAGAGUAGCUGACACCACCCGCAGAAGGAGCUACAGCCGGGGCGGUUGCUAUGCCACUCUCAGCUUCUCCUUUGCCAGCACCACUUCCGGCUCCAGAUCCGCUUGACCCAUCUGCACCACCACCUGCACCACCGCCCCCACCCUGACCAUCAGCGUUGGCGUACCCACUGCCACUAGGGGCUGACGCCGAGCCACUCGAACCAACACCGUUGCCACCGCCAGAGCCGGAACCGGAUCCGGAUCCGCCUUGGGAACCACCGCCAGCGCCGUUUCCCCCUCCUCCACCGGCUCCCUUGGCAAAGUUAUACUUGUUCCUGGCAUCUCCACCAUUCUCGCCAUAUCCCAAGCCACCACCUCCUACGGCCCCAUGGCCCCAUCCACUCCCACCCCCACCCGACGAGCUGCCACCGCCUCCUCCUCCCCCGCCUCCGCCUCCAGCACUGGAGGAGCUAGCUAGCAUCCUCGAAGCAUUGGUGAACCCAAUGCUCACGAGGACAACAAAACCAAGAGCUCCAAGCUUAGUGCUAGCAGCCAUUAUGAGUGAGCUCGGUGUAGUUUGAGAUGAGAUGGGUGUUGAAAGAAGAGAGGGCUGCAUGGGUUUAUAUAGUAGUGCAACCGGUGCAUGGAUGAUGGAAUGAUGAGUGUGGAGUGUUGGAUCUUACACGCACGCAGAAGGCGCGCGAUCUUCGGGUUGCGAACUGAAUGAGUAAUCCCAUGACAAGUUCACUAAGGCUGGUCAUAGUGGGGAGUAACUUAGACUAGUAACAUGCAUAUGUUACUAGUAUAUGUUACUAUCUUUAUAGUGCAUAGUAUCAUAGAUUAGUAUCAUAAGUGGUCUUAUUUAUUGCCAUGCAUGGCACAUAGUAGCAUCACAUUUAUUAUGUUACGGUAUCUACCUAUGUUACUAUAACCAUCUCUCUCUUCUUUAAUUGUCUGCCACAUAAGCAUGUUUGCGAGUCCCAAGUGCAUGAUACUACUUAUGUUACCCCCACUAUGGCCAGCCUAAUCACGGUAGCAUGCAUCGUUGACUGCACUGCCACUGCUUUCAUCGAUCAUGCAAAUCUGUUCAUAUCUUUCUUUAAUCGCUAAUUAAUUGAUGAGAACUGGUCAGCUGUAGUAGGGUCAGAAGAUACGUAUACUGACGCUUGAUUGAGAUUUCAUCUCAUGACAGACAGAUUAACUACAGUAAUUGUGAACCAAACUGUGAAUGAAUGGUUAGACAGUGAUACCCCAAUCCACCAGGGUUCAAGUCCUGCUGCUUGCAUUAUUUCGGAUUUGCUUCAGGAAUUCCGGUGAUGCGUGCUCAGUGAAAGGAGACGUUUCCGUCGACUAAGAGGCGCCUCUGCUGAUUUCGUCAAUCUCAAAAUGAUAUGACGACUCAGUUUCUCGAAGGUACUCACAUGAGUGUGAGUGUAUGAAUGUAUGUAUGAGUGCUGCGUGACCUGCCUUUACUCGAUACGCAUGCAUGAACUGGAAGCCGUGGAUCACACCACGUGUUAUAAAAAAAAACUACUGUAAUUAUUUUCUUUCCACCACAUGAAAGAACGUGACCUGCCUUUACUCGAUACGCACGCAUGAACUGGAAGCCGUGGAUCACAGGAAAUCCUUUGACAUUGCACUUCAUGAAUGCCACUUGACAUUAUCAACCAUGAACACCGCGGAUAUAUAUAGAGAAAAACAAGAUACGUACAGUAAGUACACUUACCUUGCGUAAGGCAUGUGUUUACUGUUAAUUACCAACAGAAAAUGAUGUAUGUUUUUGCUUAACUAGUGACUUCCUUAACCGUAAGAUGCACGCAUUACAUUAACACUAGUACUCCUAGACCCACAUGAGCUUGGUAUGCGGAAGAUGGAACCGAGCUCUGACUGGCCGUCUGACGUCGUUCUUCAUCGUCGGUCGUCGGUGAUGCAGUUUGAGAAAGGCUCCAGCUAGCCCCUAGCUAUAGCCAAUGGUAGACGGCGAAGGAGAGUGUUGACCUACAUUAAUUGCAUACCACUCCUAGGAUUUGUAAUGUCGAUGUACCAAACCGACGUGUGUGUUAUUUUCUACUUCCUCCUUCCCAUAUUGACACUAUACUAGUGUCAAAAAAGUUUUAUAUUAUGGAACGGAGGGAGUAGUUUGUAAUGAUGGCCUUGUAAGGGUUGGAUGACUAACCUUCCUACAGCCGAUACACAUGUCCAAGACUCCCGUGUCGUCCGACCUAGGGCGACUCGGGAGGAUUCAGCCACCGCCGUCACUCAGUUCGAUUCCCUCUCCCUGUCCCUGCUUGCCGCUGCCACGGGCGGCCUCGGCCGCGGCGGUGGCGGAUCUCACGGCCGCAUGUGACCUUUGGUUUGCAGCUAGUUGGAGGAGUUCUAGGACGACACCCGGAUCACAGAUGGGCCAAUGGUGCGGGUUGAGGCUUCUGAUUCGGUCGGUGAUGGGCCUCAGCAGCCCGGAGCUGCUCGUGCGCCAAAACCCUGGGCUUCCAACUCCCUGCAGGUUGCCGCCAUGCCGGCCCUAGUGUCUUCUGAAGCCAACUGCUUUGCUCCACACGCCCGUCCACAAUCCCUAAGGACACCGCGACCCCGUCGCAUCAAGAACAUCUCCCCACGUCUGGAUUCACGCGCGUUGCCUUCUGUUUUGUGUCGUGUAAAACAGUUUGUGGGAAGAACCAAAGUGGUAGCACCUAAACCUGCUGCGAGGUGUGUGGGGCGCUCGCCACCAUGGCUACUGGCGCGUCCCUGAUUGCCAUCGUGGUUCCGCGUGUGGGCCAGUCUCCGACCAGAUAUGGCCGAUUUCGCCACCGGGGGCCAUCAUGCGGUGGGCUCUGUGCUGGAUGUGGACGGCGGCAAUGAGGUGCCAUUCCGCACAUGCGCUGGCCAGCCGGCAGUGCUACGGUCCACCGGUUUGGUCGUUCUGAUCUAGAUCUGAUCGGCCGGGUGGUGAUGACUGCAGACUGUGCUGCAACGACUCCCCACGGCUCCAUGACAGCAGCGGUCAUUAGAAGGUUUUUGGAGGGUUCAUCUCUCUUGAUCUUUUGGUUGACUUCGACGGUGAGAUACAAAUUAUGGACAACGGCUUGACAAAGACUAAUGACUAUGUUGUGGCGGCGAGAGCAUCGCUUGUAGUUGUUGGGACCAUGAAAAAGUGAUGUCGACAACACAUGAGUGGCUUCGAUGGUGGUGCUGCUCAAGCACUCGGUCUCGAGCUCCGGGGUGAAAGCCUAGGUCAGACCUGAGUUGGUUAUAUCUCGGCGGUGGCGAUGUUUUUUUUACAUUGUUACCUUGUUGAAGGCAUUGCUCGAUUAUGCUCGGAUUGAUUCUUUAGGGUGAAAACUUAGAUACCGGCCUCGGUGGUUGGAUCGGGGUAGCUCCCUUAUUGAAGGCAUUGAUGUUGAAGAACCUCGUCAUCCAUGUGGUGACAUGACAUGGUUGGUAUAGAUAUGGUCAUUAUUGUAAUUUGUCGAUUGGAUCGCCUUGGUUUUGUUUGUUUUUCCCCGCCUACGCAUAGCUUUGGUCUUAUAUGACUUUGCUAAUUGGUGGCGUAUUUUCUAGCGUGUGUGAGUUGGUGUUAGCUGUGUGCAUUCUAACUAUGCAGAGACCGGAUGUGUGCUUAUUUUGUUACGCAUUCUCUUGAUGCUUCAUUUUGAACGCAUAAAAUCCACCCUUUGUCCAAAAAAUAUAUACACAUACCCGCAAGUAUAUGAAACUGGAAAUGUGGGCGGUAAAGACGACUUUGAACCCUACAACAUAUUCAUGCUACAUGCAUGUCCCUCAUGUACUUACUUGAAUACACACUGUGAACCAAAAUUAGACAGAAUUACUGUAUGGAAGCUAGAUUUGCAUACUAUUUUCAGAACAAUCAGGCUUUUCAAACAGGAAAGAAAAAAAUCCAAUUAUUAUAUGGGUCUAAGAAACUGGAGAGGUGGGAGUACGAUGCACUAUAAGCAUCCACAUAUUUGGACGGCCUGCCAUAAAAUAAAAAGGGGACUUUUGUAGAACCACGGCCUUUUUGAUUUAUUUUUUUCCAUAAAUAUUUCUGGCAAAAGCUCAUGCUAUGACAAUUUUGUUACACAACAUGCUAUGACACAUCAUAGUGUAGUAAUGACUUCAUUUGGUCAACUUCGACCCAGCCGUUUUUGUAAACCUGACCUUGUUCAAUACUCGCUCCGUUUCAUAAUUCAAACUAAAACCACGACAAAAAAUAUGGAAUAGAGGGAAUAGAUGUGACGUAGGACGUACAUCUUCCACGGUGGUGCAUUAUAGUGUAGCCACAUACAAUAUUGCAAUGUCAACUACUCCCUCUGUCUACUCAAAAAAAAACUAGUCCCUUCAACCCAAUAAGCUGCUUUUGCAAACUAACAUAUUGUGGGAUGGAGUGAGUAGAUUUUUUGCUGCCUUGACAUAGCAUUGAAUAAAAUUGAGAGAGAAACAUAAGAGUACGACCUCAUGAGUCGUCCAUAAACAACCUGGAUCAAGGCCGUAUAUCAAAAUAACCAGAUACAGAUCUUUGCAAGGUCGUGGAGCCUACGGGUUACUAAUGCUUUGUGCCUUGGGUCUGUAUUUGCGCAAUUUGUCCUUUUCUUCUUCUACUUACGUUUCUCAUAAAAACCACAACGUAAUCCAUGCUAGCCAAAUCAGCCACCAUCCCCAACAGAGAAGGAAGUUAGAGGCAACCAGAACAAUUGACCAUUAGCUUUCUUUUUAGAUCAACCUUAGCUAGGCAUAUUGGCUCGGAUGGAGUAACCAAGCAGUCACACUAACAACGAAACAUAUCAGAAAUCAUAACAUAACAUAACAUAUUCGUAGGUAGCGAUUACAUGUUAGUAGAUUGCUCCACUAACUACUUAGUACUUCCCUAGAAUCAUGGAGCCCUUUAUUAGGAGACGCCUAGUGAAAACCCUAUGAAUGAAAAGAAACACAAAUGACUUGGAAUAGUAAAUUGAAGAGACUAGAAAUGUGUGAUAGGCUCCGAUUCUAACUUGUUCGAAAAAGAAAUUUAG
rnacentral:lncRNA from 1 species